AUACUUACCUAGCAGGGGAGAUGCCAUGGUUGGGAAGGUGGUUUUUUCAGGGCAAGGCGUAGCCAUUGUGUUUCAGAUGUCCUGACUCCUGAAAUUUCCCAAAGUUCAGGAAACUUGACUUCAUAAUUUGUGGUAAUAAGGAACUAGGUUCAUGCUCUCCCCUGC
ensembl:snRNA LOC120100189 U1 spliceosomal RNA